GAUGAACGCUGGCGGCGUGCCUAAUACAUGCAAGUCGAGCGAACAGACGAGGAGCUUGCUCCUCUGACGUUAGCGGCGGACGGGUGAGUAACACGUGGAUAACCUACCUAUAAGACUGGGAUAACUUCGGGAAACCGGAGCUAAUACCGGAUAAUAUAUUGAACCGCAUGGUUCAAUAGUGAAAGACGGUUUUGCUGUCACUUAUAGAUGGAUCCGCGCCGCAUUAGCUAGUUGGUAAGGUAACGGCUUACCAAGGCAACGAUGCGUAGCCGACCUGAGAGGGGGAUCGGCCACACUGUAACUUAGACACGGUCCAGAGUCCUACGGGAGGCAGCAGUAGGGAAUCUUCCGCAAUGGGCGAAAGCCUGACGGAGUAACGCCGCGUGAGUGAUGAAGGUCUUCGGAUCGUAAAACUCUGUUAUUAGGGAAGACCAAAUGUGUAAGUAACUAUGCACGUCUUGACGGUACCUAAUCAGAAAGCCACGGCUAACUACGUG
rnacentral:rRNA from 1 species